UAUGAAUAAAUUCUCAUAUUA
rnacentral:tRNA from 1 species